rnacentral:rRNA from 1 species
GCUGUCCUUAGUACGAGAGGACCGGGAUGGACGCACCGCUGGUGUACCAGUUGUCCCGCCAGGGGCACCGCUGGGUAGCCAAGUGCGGAAGGGAUAAGCGCUGAAAGCAUCUAAGCGCGAAGCCCGCCUCAAGAUGAGAUUUCCCAUCCUUUCGGGGCGACCCGAAAGGAGUAAGAUCCCUUGAAGAAGACGAGGUAGAUAGGUCCGGGGUGGAAGCACGGUGACGUGUGGAGCUGACGGAUCCUAAUCGAUCGAGGACUUAACCGC